GUGCGGUGGAGGCCAGCCCAGGGCCUGGGGGAGCCGCCCAGGUCCCAGGCCUCUUACUCCUGGCUCUUAGCUCACAAUCCCCGAGAGGCAGGGGAGGGGCAGGGGGCUCUAGUUGGCAGGAAGAGGGGCUUCAAUCUGCCGAGGAGCCCUAGGCCACCCUGCGGGAGCCUUGGGGAAUAGAGAGAUCUGGGAGGAGGCCACUGGUCUCUCCAUUGUGGCCAGCAAGGGAAGGCUUGGGAGAACUGCUUAGGCAUAUGAGGGGAAAGAGGAGCGUGUCCUGAGUGGUGACCAGCCACCUGCACCGUGCUCAGUGCUUUACAGACAUUAUCAUCAUCUUACUGGACUUUCUCACAUGUUCUCAACACUGUGAGCUCUUUGGACACAGGUGCCUGUUUUGCUCAGCUGUGUGUUUCUCCAGAACCUGGAACCUAGAAGGCACUUACUGCUUAUCCAUUGGUUGAGUGACAGAGCGCUGUGGCAGUGAUUCCAAGAUCUGCUCAAUGACUUCUGCCUUCUGGUAUCCACGCCCUUGUGUAAUUCCCUCCUGAGUGUGGGCUUGCCUAUGACUUGCUCCUAAAUGACAGGAUACAGCCAAAGGAGAGGUCACUCCUGUGAUUCAGGCUACACAAGACUGGGGUGCCUGGGUGGCUCAGUCGAUUGGGUGUCUGCCUUCAGCUCAGGUCAUGGUCCCAGGGUCCUGGGAUCAAGCCCCGCAUCAGGCCAUCAGGGAGCCCGCUUCUCUCUCUUUCUCUAAUAAAUAAAUGAAAUCUUAAAAAAAAAAAAUUAGACAAGACUGUAACUUCCGUCCUGCUGGCAGACUUGCCCGUGUGGGCUUUCAUAAAGUUGCUGUGUCGAGGAGACCCAUGUGGCAAGGAACUCAAGUCAAUGUUUGAUUACUAGCCUGUGGGUAAACAGAGUCAGCCCCCUCAAUCCAACACCCUUGAGGAACUGAAAUUCUGCGGACAACUUAAGUCAGCUUGGACAUAGGUCCUCCUCCAGCCUUCAAAUGAGAACCCAGACCUGACCAAUAAUCGGAACCCAGACCUGACCAAUAAUCGGACCGUGGCCCAUGAAGCCGAGGGCCCGGGCAGGUGUGCCUCAGCUCCUGACCCAGAGAAACCAUGAAAUCAUAAAUGUGUGUUCAUUUAAAACACCAUGGGGAUCCCUGGGUGGCGCAGCGGUUUGGCGCCUGCCUUUGGCCCAGGGCGCGAUCCUGGAGACCCGGGAUCGAAUCCCACGUC